rnacentral:rRNA from 1 species
AACGGCAGCAUAGGAGCUUGCUCCUUGGGUGGCGAGUGGCGGACGGGUGAGGAAUACAUCGGAAUCUGCCUUAUCGUGGGGGAUAACGUAGGGAAACUUACGCUAAUACCGCAUACGACCUACGGGUGAAAGCGGAGGACCGCAAGGCUUCGCGCGAUAAGAUGAGCCGAUGUCGGAUUAGCUAGUUGGCGGGGUAAUGGCCCACCAAGGCGACGAUCCGUAGCUGGUCUGAGAGGAUGAUCAGCCACACUGGAACUGAGACACGGUCCAGACUCCUACGGGAGGCAGCAGUGGGGAAUAUUGGACAAUGGGCGCAAGCCUGAUCCAGCCAUGCCGCGUGCGGGAAGAAGGCCUUCGGGUUGUAAACCGCUUUUGUCAGGGAAGAAACGGUUUUGGCU